rnacentral:rRNA from 1 species
GAUGAACGCUGGCGGCAGGCCUAACACAUGCAAGUCGAGCGGACCUUUCGGGGUCAGCGGCGGACGGGUGAGUAACGCGUGGGAAUAUGCCCUUCUCUACGGAAUAGUCCUGGGAAACUGGGGGUAAUACCGUAUACGCCCUUUGGGGGAAAGAUUUAUCGGGGAAGGAUUAGCCCGCGUUGGAUUAGGUAGUUGGUGGGGUAAUGGCCUACCAAGCCGACGAUCCAUAGCUGGUUUGAGAGGAUGAUCAGCCACACUGGGACUGAGACACGGCCCAGACUCCUACGGGAGGCAGCAGUGGGGAAUCUUAGACAAUGGGGGCAACCCUGAUCUAGCCAUGCCGCGUGAGUGAUGAAGGCCUUAGGGUUGUAAAGCUCUUUCAGCUGGGAAGAUAAUGACGGUACCAGCAGAAGAAGCCCCGGCUAACUCCGUG